CUGUGAGUAUACUUAGUGGCGGACGGGUGAGUAACGCGUGAGCAAUCUGCCCUGCAAUGGGGGACAACAGUUGGAAACGACUGCUAAUACCGCAUAAGACCACGAAACCGCAUGGUUUAGAGGUAAAAGGAUUCAUUCGAUGCAGGAUGAGCUCGCGUCCCAUUAGAUAGUUGGUGAGGUAACGGCCCACCAAGUCAACGAUGGGUAGCCGACCUGAGAGGGUGAUCGGCCACAUUGGAACUGAGAAACGGUCCAAACUCCUACGGGAGGCAGCAGUGGGGAAUAUUGGGCAAUGGGGGAAACCCUGACCCAGCAACGCCGCGUGAAGGAAGAAGGCCUUCGGGUUGUAAACUUUUGUCCUAUGGGACGAAAAAAAUGACGGUACCAUAGGAGGAAGCUCCGGCUAACUACGUGCCAGCAGCCGCGGUAAUACGUAGGGAGCAAGCGUUGUCCGGAAUUACUGGGCGUAAAGGGUGCGUAGGUGGCCAUGUAAGUCAGGUGUGAAAGACCGGGGCUCAACCCCGGGGUUGCACUUGAAACUGUGUGGCUUGAGUACAGGAGAGGGAAGUGGAAUUCCUAGUGUAGCGGUGAAAUGCGUAGAUAUUAGGAGGAACACCAGUGGCGAAGGCGACUUUCUGGACUGUAACUGACACUGAGGCACGAAAGCGUGGGGAGCAAACAGGAUUAGAUACCCUGGUAGUCCACGCCGUAAACGAUGGAUACUAGGUGUGGGGGGCGAUAGUCCUCCGUGCCGAAGCUAACGCAUUAAGUAUCCCGCCUGGGGAGUACGAUCGCAAGGUUGAAACUCAAAGGAAUUGACGGGGGCCCGCACAAGCAGCGGAGCAUGUGGUUUAAUUCGAAGCAACGCGAAGAACCUUACCAAGGCUUGACAUCCUCUGACGCAUAUAGAGAUAUAUGUUCCCUUCGGGGCAGAGAGACAGGUGGUGCAUGGUUGUCGUCAGCUCGUGUCGUGAGAUGUUGGGUUAAGUCCCGCAACGAGCGCAACCCUUGUUGCUAGUUGCCAGCACGUAAAGGUGGGAACUCUAGUGAGACUGCCGGGGACAACUCGGAGGAAGGUGGGGACGACGUCAAAUCAUCAUGCCCCUUAUGUCUUGGGCUACACACGUGCUACAAUGGCCGGUACAAAGGGCAGCGACCUCGUAAGAGUAAGCGAAUCUCAAAAAGCCGGCCCCAGUUCGGAUUGUGGGCUGCAACCCGCCCACAUGAAGUCGGAGUUGCUAGUAAUCGCGAAUCAGCA
rnacentral:rRNA from 2 species